rnacentral:lncRNA from 1 species
GGAAACAAGAGGUGGGCAUAUGAGGAGCUCUUGUCACUAUGAAGCCUUGUAACCAAGAAUCUGUACCUGCCCCUGCCCCAUACCUCGUAACCAAGAAUCUAUACCUCCCCUGCUCCACACCUUAGUGCUUUUCUGUUUUGUAGCUCUUACUUCCCCAGGGAGCUUCCCAACAGGCAGCACAGUGAUUUCGCUGAACCUGGAGCUGAGACUUGGCCAUUUUGGGCUUCUGAGCUAGAAAGAAGCGGCCAAAUCACAGCCUCUACUGAGACACCGGCAACCCCUCCCUGGUGAUCUGAGC